UGAGAGGCCAGGGAGGGGGUCUGGGCCAGCUCCCUAACAGAGGGCCUGGCUGCUGGAGAAGCAGCUCAGAACACAGAGAUGGCCAUGCCUCUCCCAAAGACCUCUGCCUGUGAGCCUCAGCUACUUGCCCAAGAGCCAUCCUAGAAAGGAGAAGUACUGGUUACAUCCCAGAUGAGGAAAUGGAGGCUUCAAGGUCAAACCCCUUGCCCAGAGACAUGCAGCAGAAAGUGAUGAAGCUGAGAUUUGAACUUGCACCUGUCUGCCUGCAAAUCCCAUCUCUUCCUGCUGUGCCAGAGACAGCAGAAGGGCCCACGGCUGUGUAGAUGUGGCCUAUUAGCCUCUCAAGUCUAGAGCAAGCCCCUCAGUGUGGGGCCCCUCCCUAGCCGCACUUCCUGCCACACCUGUCCUUCAAGCAGCCGCCUUUCUUUAGAACCCCACGUCUACUGUGGUGAUCACUCUGCAUAGCUGCUUUAGAAACAUAUGAAGAUAACAGAAGGAUCUCAUCUGCAACCCAGAGCUCUCUGUGCCUGGUGGUGACUCCCAAGAAGCUCCCAUAAGGAAGAGGUCCCUCAAAGAACACACUGAACACAGUGGACCCUCUGCUGCCAAAACAGGCAGGGAAGCAUCUCCUGGAGCCUGCUUGGUCAGCUCUGCUCUCAGAAGCUUGGAGGGCAAACGGGGGUGACUGGACCCAGCUGGAAUAAUGGAAAGAAUGGGAACUAGCACUUAGAAGCACCUACUGUGUUCCAGAAAUUCUGGUGCAUUUAUCUGUGUAGCCUUCAAAAUAGCUCUGUUGGGUUGAUAGUAUUUUUGCCCCAUGUUAUGGUAUAAGAAACUGAGUUCAGAGAGGUUAGGUAACUUGAAUCAGGCCAUAAAGCACUUAAGCCCAAACUUAACUGGCUCCAACAUCUCCAUCAUUUCUAUUCUAUCCUCCGACCUCCCCGACACUGUCUGCUCCUUAGGGUCUGUGAAAGUCAGGAAUCCCCAACUCAGUCUCUUAGCUGGCUGUCCAAGUAGUCCACCUUCCUCCUCAGGGCUCCCUCACCCACACAGCAGAUGGGCA
rnacentral:lncRNA from 1 species